ACAGUGGUGACGUCGGUGGGGUCCUUUCAGACUUUGUAAUCUAGCUAUAUCCGUUUGGAUAUGUAAGGUUAGUGUUGUCGUACAUGUGUGGAGACUUAUACAUGUGUGCUAUUGAGUGGCCAUGGCAACCUGUGCAGGAGAAAUAGUGUACCAGAAGGGAAGGCCUCAGGACUCGGAUGUAUGGGAUGAUGCGGUGCUAAUAAAGGCUUAUGACCGAGCAGUGCGCUUGUUCCAGGAUGCCAUGCAGAAAAAGAGUGGUGAAAGUGAUGAGCAUUCUGCCACUUCAGAGUCCGAGUGUGAGAGCAGCAGUAGUGUGGAACCUAAGAAAGAGAGCCGAAUG